rnacentral:rRNA from 1 species
CCAAUAGCGUAUAUUAAAGUUGUUGCAGUUAAAAAGCUCGUAGUUGAAUUUCGGGGUCAAUAAGUUGGUCGUGCCAAUGGUAUGUACUGGCUUUAUUGAUUCCUACCUCUUGACGAACUGUGAUGCCAUUAAUUUGGUGUUGCAGGAAAUCAGGACUGUUACCUUGAAAAAAUUAGAGUGUUUAAAGCAGGCUUACGCUUGAAUACAUUAGCAUGGAAUAAUGAAAUAGGACGUUUGAACCUAUUUUGUUGGUUUCUAGGAUCGACGUAAUGAUUAAUAGGGAUAGUUGGGGGCAUUAGUAUUCAAUUGUCAGAGGUGAAAUUCUUGGCUUUAUUGAAGACUAACUACUGCGAAAGCAUUUGCCAAGGAUGUUUUCAUUAAUCAAGAACGAAAGUUAGGGGAUCGAAGACGGUCAGAUACCGUCGUAGUCUUAACCAUAAACUAUGCCGACUAGGGAUCGGAUGAUGUUAAUUUUUUAAUGACUCAUUCGGCGCCUUACG